CUAGGAGCUCUGAUGGUCGAGGGCAGGAAAAGAUGGACAUCCCAGCUCAAGAAGAGAGAGAGAAUUCUGCCAUCUUUUCCUCUUUUGUUCCAUAUGGCCCCAAACAGAUUGGAUGAUGUCUGCCCAUAUUGAAGUCUUCUCAAACCCUUUAUGGAACAAAGCUGGAUAUGAUUAAAUAAAGUCUGCAUCUAGUUUUUGAUAUGUGAAAAAGAUCAUCUUCAAAAUUAAGGAUUUCCAUGGGAAAGAAUAUUAGAUCCUCUGUCAACUAUCAGACUUCUCCUUCUGCACAGCCCUCUCUUGGUGCUUUUGCUUUUCAAAGUUUUCAGUAGCCGGGCACUUACUCCACUACGGCGGGAUGUCAUAGCCACCACUGGAGACCACUGGUUGGUUCUGGGGUUGUAUCUCUCAGCACUGCUAAGCUCUGUAGUGUCAUCUCUACCUCCUACGGCAUAGAUCAUAUCCUGAUACACUGCACAGCCUAGGUGUUUCCUCCGGGUCCCCAUAGGGGCUAUGGUGUGCCAUCUGUUUUCCUGAGGAUUAUAACGCUCCACUGCAGGGAAAAGAAAAACCAGGGACUCUCCUAAGAAAAAAUGUAUUGGUUUGGGGAAACCAGACUGACUUUGGAAGGAACUAACCUGUGUUAAGUGGAGAUGUCCCAUCAGAGCCACCUACAGCGUAUAAGAACCCUCCUAACACAGCCACAGCCACGCCUAGUCUCCUAGUACUCAUAGAAGCCACCCGAGUCCACUUGUUCUCCUUCGGAUCAUACCUGCGGUAAGAGAAACCAAAGACUGCACGCAUGUUUUUAUUAAGUGAAGCCUUUUCCAUAAGGUAUGAAAUUAUGCUGAAGAUAUGUUAGAUACAUAGAUUUGCUAAGGUCAAAUGUACAGAGAGAAUCUAACAUUUUUACAUAGUUAUCAGUACUCUGACUUAUGAACUGGGGCUAGAACUCUGAAAACUACAUUUCUCCUUUGCCAAGCUGGCUCUCUACUAGAUUCUGCCAAAAGGAAG